UUGGUUUGUUCCAGCCACACCCGCCGGAGUGGGAGGACACGGACAAGUUGCUACACGCGUUGGAUAGGAAAAAGCAGCGGAAGAUUAAGGAUUGGGCCAACCAUCACAGGAAGUAUGUCGUGCAGUUCGCUCUUAGUGUGGAGCAAGCAAGGGCUGGAAAACGAGCCCAGCUUCGUGAGCACUGCCCGAUCGCGUUCAACAACUA